UAGGGAAUAUUGGACAAUGGGUGAGAGCCUGAUCCAGCCAUGCCGCGUGCAGGAAGAAGGCGUUAUGCGUUGUAAACUGCUUUUGCCAGGGGAUAAAAAGACCGUGCGCGGUUAAUUGAAGGUACCUGGUGAAUAAGCCACGGCUAACUACGUGCCAGCAGCCGCGGUAAUACGUAGGUGGCAAGCGUUGUCCGGAUUUAUUGGGUUUAAAGGGUGCGUAGGUGGCCCUGUAAGUCAGUGGUGAAAUAUCUCAGCUUAACUGAGAGGGUGCCAUUGAUACUGCAGGGCUUGAGUACAGAUGAGGUAGGCGGAAUUGACGGUGUAGCGGUGAAAUGCAUAGAUAUCGUCAAGAACACCGAUAGCGAAGGCAGCUUACUAGACUGUAACUGACGCUGAGGCACGAAAGUGUGGGGAUCAAACAGGAUUAGAUACCCCCGUAGUCCCUGAGCGGGCUGGCAAGGCGCAU
rnacentral:rRNA from 1 species